rnacentral:rRNA from 1 species
UUUGGUGGCGAUAGCGAAGAGGUCACACCCGUUCCCAUGCCGAACACGGAAGUUAAGCUCUUCAGCGCCGAUGGUAGUUGGGGGCUUCCCCCUG